CUCUGUUGUUAGGGAAGAACAAGUGCUAGUUGAAUAAGCUGGCACCUUGACGGUACCUAACCAGAAAGCCACGGCUAACUACGUGCCAGCAGCCGCGGUAAUACGUAGGUGGCAAGCGUUAUCCGGAAUUAUUGGGCGUAAAGCGCGCGCAGGUGGUUUCUUAAGUCUGAUGUGAAAGCCCACGGCUCAACCGUGGAGGGUCAUUGGAAACUGGGAGACUUGAGUGCAGAAGAGGAAAGUGGAAUUCCAUGUGUAGCGGUGAAAUGCGUAGAGAUAUGGAGGAACACCAGUGGCGAAGGCGACUUUCUGGUCUGUAACUGACACUGAGGCGCGAAAGCGUGGGGAGCAAACAGGAUUAGAUACCCUGGUAGUCCACGCCGUAAACGAUGAGUGCUAAGUGUUAGAGGGUUUCCGCCCUUUAGUGCUGAAGUUAACGCAU
rnacentral:rRNA from 1 species